AUUUGUUUGAGAAAGGCGGGCUCUUAAGGCGCUUUGGAUCCCGCCCUACCUCUCCGCGGGCGCUGCGCUCGCCGCCGUGGCCAAUCACAGAGCACGUCACGUCGCAGCAGCCAAUCGGAAAGGCCGGGGGAUAUUAAGUCAACCUCUGGGCCUCCCCUCGCUCCUCGUUGGAGGGUGAUAAGUGUAUUUUGCUGCAAUGGGCUGUUUUUCGUCUGGCCUGGUGAAAUCCAGGGCCAUCGCGUUUCCUCCGAGGCUCGGCCAGAGAAUGCGAAGGGAGAGAGGCAGGACAAAAGUUGAGGCGAAUCCAGAGGCGUGCCAAUGGGUCUUCAGUUCUCUGAUGCGGAGAUGAUGUCGGAGCUCUUGGUAUGGUAGGAAUGUGGACUCAGGAUUUAAUGAGAAUUUAAUACCAAGAUAAAUCGGUUUUUAAUUCAAGGAGGUCUUUCUUGCAAGAUCCUUUGCCACAAUGGAGAUUAAGAAGGAGAUAAGCUGCAAGAAUGAGUCCAACAUUUCCAAGCAAGGUUGUUCUUUCUCCCAUGUUACUUAAUCCAGAUUCUGGCUGAAAAGAUUCAUCUCAAGGAAUUACAUUAUUGAAGAUGUCGGAAAAAGAUUUCCUGGAUCUUGGAAGAGAAUUACUAAAACUGUGCAGGGGAGG